CACGCUUGGCUCGGCUCUACAUGGUUUCCUCAUCAGAGGCACGCCACAGAUCACACACUUCCAAUCUCCUUCUCCCGAAAAGAGGAGCAGAGAGGGAC